rnacentral:rRNA from 1 species
GUGAACGCUGGCGGUAGGCCUAACACAUGCAAGUCGAACGGCAGCACAGUAAGAGCUUGCUCUUACGGGUGGCGAGUGGCGGACGGGUGAGGAAUACAUCGGAAUCUACUUUUUCGUGGGGGAUAACGUAGGGAAACUUACGCUAAUACCGCAUACGACCUACGGGUGAAAGCAGGGGAUCUUCGGACCUUGCGCGAUUGAAUGAGCCGAUGUCGGAUUAGCUAGUUGGCGGGGUAAAGGCCCACCAAGGCGACGAUCCGUAGCUGGUCUGAGAGGAUGAUCAGCCACACUGGAACUGAGACCCGGUCCAGACUCCUACGGGAGGCAGCAGUGGGGAAUAUUGGACAAUGGGCGCAAGCCUGAUCCAGCCAUACCGCGUGGGUGAAGAAGGCCUUCGGGUUGUAAAGCCCUUUUGUUGGGAAAGAAAAGCAGCAGGUUAAUACCCCGCUGUUCUGACGGUACCCAAAGAAUAAGCACCGGCUAACUUCGUG